rnacentral:rRNA from 1 species
UUCCGGUUGAUCCUGCCGGAGGCCAUUGCUAUCGGGGUCCGAUUUAGCCAUGCUAGUUGUACGAGUUCAGACUCGUAGCAAAUAGCUCCGUAACACGUGGCCAAACCACCCUCCAGAGAACCAUACCCUCGGGAAACUGAGGCUAAUAGUUCAUACCCGUCUCACGCUGGAAUGCCGAGACGCGAAAACGUUCCGACGCUGGAGGACGUGGCUGCGGCCGAUUAGGUAGACGGUGGGGUAACGGCCCACCGUGCCGAUAAUCGGUACGGGUUGUGAGAGCAAGAACCCGGAGACGGAAUCUGAGACAAGAUUCCGGGCCCUACGGGGCGCAGCAGGCGCGAAACCUUUACACUGCACGCAAGUGCGAUAAGGGGACCCCGAGUGCGAGGGCAUACAGUCCUCGCUUUUCACUACCGUAAGGUGGUAGUGGAAUAAGAGCUGGGCAAGACCGGUGCCAGCCGCCGCGGUAAUACCGGCAGCUCGAGUGAUGGCCGAUUUUAUUGGGCCUAAAGCGUCCGUAGCCGGCCGAGCAAGUUCAUCGGGAAAUCCGCCAGCCCAACUGGCGGGCGUCCGGUGAAAACUGCACGGCUCGGGACCGGAAGACCCGAAGGGUACGUCUUGGGUAGGAGUGAAAUCCCGUAAUCCUGGACGGACCACCGAUGGCGAAAGCACUUCGGGAAGACGGAUCCGACGGUGAGGGACGAAAGCCAGGGUCUCGAACCGGAUUAGAUACCCGGGUAGUCCUGGCCGUAAACGAUGUCUGCUAGGUGCGGCUCCCACUACGAGUGGGUGCUGUGCCGUAGGGAAGCCGCUAAGCAGACCGCCUGGGAAGUACGUCCGCAAGGAUGAAACUUAAAGGAAUUGGCGGGGGAGCACUACAACCGGAGGAGCCUGCGGUUUAAUUGGACUCAACGCCGGU